rnacentral:rRNA from 1 species
UGCCGNUGUGUGAAGAAGGCCUGCGGGUUGUAAAGCACUUUCAGCGAGGAACAAAAGCCUGUGGUUAAUACCCAUGGGUCUUGACGUUACUCG